ensembl:lncRNA novel transcript
GAGGGAGGCGAAGGGUGCCCCAUGGGUGGCUGAGGGGACGCCCGGCCCGCGAGGGACAACCCGAGGAGGAGCAGUUUCAUCUGAUUAACACCUGAGUCUCGUCCAGUGUGACAUUCUUCAGAAUUCAUCCUGGAAUCAAUAUUAUGCCAAAGAAAAUUUUCUGAAAGCUACACAGAUCAUACCACUGCAACUCAGCCAACCAGCACAUCGGACAGUGGGAGGAGGAAUUCUUGGCUAAGAGUACUGAGAGAUGGGGUUUCACCAUGUUAACCAGGAUUGUCUCAAUCUCCUGACCGCGUGAUCCACCUGCCUCAGCCUCCCAAAGUGCUGGGAUUACAGGCGUGAGCCACCAUGCCUGGCCAAAAUUCUGAAACCAGAUGUGAUAAGCUUGACAGAGCCUGCAAUUCCAUCUAACACCUUGACACCUUCUCCUCCUUCAGAACCCCCCUCCCUGGCAGCAGCCAGAAACCUCCCCAAAGAGGGUGGAUGCUCCGCAAGUGAGAAAGGGAAGGAGGGCAUGAGAACUCCUGGUCUAAGGGGAAAGAUACCAAGGAGGAAAGAGAAAGUCAAACCACAGACAAAAUAAUCCACAAAAAGCAGCAAAUGUACAUAUAUUUGGGGACUACAGUAAAACUCCAUGAUAAUGUGUCAUGUGAGUCUAUAAUUUAAAUCUAGGUUUCAAUCAUUUUUCACUGUGUGCCAUAGUAAAAAAUAAGUUUUAUAUUGUGACUCAGUACAUAUACACGGUUUUACAAAACAACCUUCACCCUUACUACAUGGGAUACAUUCUGACAUUUUCUUCCAUCCUAUCCAACCCUACUCCAUUUUAUCCUACCUUACAUUACCUUAAUCUAUUCCAACCUUUUCUGCUCUGCUUCAUUUUUAAAAAAAGGAAAUGUUGGCUACUCACUAAAUUAAUUUCAUGACCCACUAAUAAAGCAUAACUGGCAACUUAAAAAUAGUAGUUUGUUAAAAUUCAUAGAUGUGCAGACUUCUGAUUCACAGACUUUUGGAACUGUAGAUCAUCUGUUUCUAGUGUAACCUCAUUUUCCAGGUGAAGAUACCGAGCCCUAAAGAGGUUGUAAUUCAUCCUCAAUUGUGUGCCUGGUUGAUGGCACGACCAAUGUUCUUUCUUGGAUUUACAUGGUGAUGCAAGAGGGAGUGUGGUGUAGGGCAGAGCCUGGGUUGACAUUGGUAGACACAUUCUGUUUAGAGCUCUGUGACCUUAAGCAAAUCACUUAAACCAUUUGGCCUCAGUUUCCUGGAAAAUGAGGUGUGGUGAGGAUCAAUUAAGUAAGACAUAGGAGAGGCUUUGCAAGCAGUGAAGUCCAAAGGUGAAAAAUUAUUACUUCUCUUUUCUCCCUAUGAUAGUCUGUGAUGCAGGCAUUAUUUGUAUUUUUUGUCAGCAGUUCUACAACAGAGACCCUGGCUUUGGAACAGAAAAGAAAAAAAAAAUCUAUGCAGUAAUCAGCCUCUUUCUCAUCUUUCAGAGACCCCCAAACCCUCUAAUUUAUCCUCUACUUUAUCCUCUCCUCUUUGUUUUUCUAAUUUGUUUUUUACUUCUUGAUUCAUCUUAUCAUUUCCUGCCUCUUCUUAAAGUAGUCAAGGUCAAUGCAUGGUCAGAAAUAAAGAGCCCAUAUAGAGAUGAUAAACAUAUUCAGAAGUGUCUGUACAGGUCUGUAGCAACAUAUAUACCCAAGUCUAUCUCCAUGCGGGAGUGGCAAGGGGUAGACUAGCCAUCUGGAAAUUUAUCUAAGAUGUUCAUCUGUGUCUUAAGAGGAUGAUGACAUUCCACAAACAGAAUCAGUAGGUGUGAGUAAGACACGUGGAUCCUGUCCUCAGUUGGUUCUAGGGAAGAACCAUGUUGCCUCUGGAGCAUCCAGAUGCAUGAGAUUUUCUCUGAUAUGUAAACAUGUCUGAAUGGUCUCGUGCCAGGAGAACCCAUUAGUUCAUGUGAUGACUUCAGAUGGCAUCUGAAAGAUAGUCUUGCUCACAGGUGGCUUUGUCCAGAUGAAGAUUCAGUUGACAUCAGUGGCAUGGGAGGGGCUCUUCUUGAGCGGGGCAGGUGCCUCAGGAGGCUCAAGGAGCAGGAGCACGUUGUGGCUCUCCUGACAGCUCUUCAGACUUGGUUUACCCUGUCCAAGGGCUUUCAAAAGGAAAGUUAAGCUUGAUGUGGCCUCUUGGUCACUCUGGAGCCAUUUCUCUGCUCUGCAUCAGAAGAGGUCCAAGGAACUGGAGUCUACCUCUCUAAGGAUCUUGAUAUAUCUUAGAACCAUAGGAAAAGUUUAGCUGGAAAACAUUUAAAUAAAUCCAUCUGCACAUCCCUAUCUCAUAUUUGAAAGAUAUAGCAAGGGUAAGGCUCAUUUUGUGUUUUCUCCUAUCAACAUAAAUUCUGCUCAAAUAUCUGGUUCAGUUUUCUUAGUAAUUUAUGCGUUUUCAGCUCAGUGAUUUUCUGCAGAACCAGCCUUUUAUGAGAAACUAAAAUUUUCCCAGGGAGAAAAUUGCCUUCUCUGUCACAGUAGUCUAUAUUUAGUGCAUAACCACCUGUGUGACAUGACCUGAGUUCCCCCAUCUAAAAUGAAGCUGUACCUAGAGAGGACAUCGCUUUAUGGUGGUGGAGAGCACAGAUUUGGGAGCCAGACUGUCUGGGUUUGAUCCCUACUUUUCUGCUUAUCAGUGAUGUGACCUUGAGAAAAUUACUAAACCCAUUUUUGUUUCAAUUUUUUUCAUCUGCAAAUCAAUGAUGAUAAUAAUAGUAUCUAUGUCAUGAAAAUUAUGAGUUAAUGCAGUGCCCAGUUACAGUAACUGCUAAAGAUUUAGUAUUUUUCUUACUGAAAUGAUCUGUGAGUUCCCCUAUGGUUUUAAAAGUAAAUGAUAACAUUAUAAUAAUGAUAUUUUACGUUGGCAUAUCUUUGUAUUAUUUGUAAUACUUGUCCUCAUAUAUUAUCCCUCAGAUGAGGAAAUUGAGGCUGAAAAGUUAAGUGACUUUUUUGAGGAUAUAUUUUUUAAGGGGAGUAGCUGAGUCUAGCAGUAAGCUUUCUUAUUCCCAGUUUGCGGCACUCCCCUCACACGAUGAUGCUUUCAGCUGGGAAUAGAUACCUCCCUCCUAGAUGGCCCUCCUCCUGAUACUUUUCAUUAUUUGAAAAUAGUGCCACCAUUCUCCAAAUUGCUGGAUGCCCCCAUAGACUAAAAAGUGUUUAUAACUUUUCAUGUCCAUGUCUGUUUUAAUAAUGAUAACAAUAGUUGCUAUAACUAGUAAACCCAAAAAUCUUAGUGGCUUACCACAAUAGUGAUUUAUGUCUUGUAAACCAAAAAUAAAACUCUAAGCCUCCUAACCAAUUGAGUGGACCCCGUCUUGCCAAGGGCACUCCAGAGUAAAUCUGAAAAACUAGUUCAGGCCAUGAUGGGAAAUGAGGUUUGGACAUGCCUCAUUAUACCCUCCUCUCUUUGGAAUUCAGGGACAACUGACCAGCAUUAACAUCAAAACAGAGAUCUUAAGACUGACCAAACAGACUCUCUGUAGUAAUAAAAUACAUCACUAAAUGACAGAUAGCAGGCCCUGACAGAAAUAAAAAUAUUUUACCCUGAAAUAUAUUUCUUUGAUGUAUUUUAAAAUGGCCCUGCAGAGAUGUCUCUUGUGGGGGAAAUCUACAUACUGUAGAGAAUGUCCUCCCCUUUCUAGGUCUUUUCCUGAUCCUAGAGAGAUAAAGAGUCUGGUACCUUUUUAAGUCUGAUAAGAAACAUUUACAAUCUAUUCUCUCUGAAGCCUGCUACCUGGAGGCUUCACCUGCAUAAUAAGAACCUUGGUCUCCACAACCCCUUAUCUUAACCCAGACAUUCCUUUUCAUUGACUCCUGGUCUUUAGAUAAUAACUUAAGUCUUUCAACCAAUCACCAAUAAGAAAAUCUUUGAAUCCACCUAUGACCUGGAGGUCACCCUGCCCCCACCAUUUGAGUUGUUCUAUCUUUAUGGACCAAACCAAUGUAUACCUUACAUGUAUUAAUUGAUGUGUGCUUGUGACUCCUGUCCCUGCUAAAAUGUAUAAAAUCAAGCUGUAACCCAACUACCUUUGAUACAUGUUUUCAGGACCUCCUAAAGCUGUGUACAUGCUUGUCCUUAACCUUGGCAAAAUAAACU